CCUACGGGAGGCAGCAGUGAGGAAUAUUGGUCAAUGGGCGUAAGCCUGAACCAGCCAAGUCGCGUGAGGGAUGAAGGUUCUAUGGAUCGUAAACCUCUUUUAUAAGGGAAUAAAGUGCGGGACGUGUCCCGUUUUGUAUGUACCUUAUGAAUAAGGAUCGGCUAACUCCGUGCCAGCAGCCGCGGUAAUACGGAGGAUCCGAGCGUUAUCCGGAUUUAUUGGGUUUAAGGGGUUCGUAGGCGGCCUUUUAAGUCAGCGGGGAAAGUCUGUGGCUAAACAAAAGAAUUGCCGUUGGAACUGGGAGGCUUGAGUAUGUUUGAGGCAGGCGGAAUGCGUGGUGUAGCGGUGAAAUGGUUAGAUAUCACGCAGAACCCCGAUUGCGAAGGCAGCCUGCCAAGCCAUGACUGACGCUGAUGCACGAAAGCGUGGGGAUCAAACAGGAUGAGAUACCCUGGUAGUC
rnacentral:rRNA from 1 species